CCUACGGGGGGCAGCAGUGAGGAAUAUUGGUCAAUGGGCGAGAGCCUGAACCAGCCAAGUCGCGUGAGGGAGUACUGCCCUAUGGGUUGUAAACCUCUUUUGUCGGGGAGCAAAAGCCGGACGUGUCCGGCUGUGAGAGUACCCGAAUAAAAAGCAUCGGCUAACUCCGUGCCAGCAGCCGCGGUUAUACGGAGGAUGCGAGCGUUAUCCGGAUUUAUUGGGUUUAAAGGGUGCGCAGGCGGAUUUUUAAGUCAGCGGUAAAAUCGUGGGGCUCAACCCCAUCCAGCCGUUGAAACUGGGGAUCUAGAGUGUGCGAGAGGUAUGCGGAAUGCGUGGUGUAGCGGUGAAAUGCAUAGAUAUCACGCAGAACCCCGAUUGCGAAGGCAGCAUACCGGUGCACAACUGACGCUCAGGCACGAAAGCGUGGGUAUCGAACAGGAUUAGAUACCCUUGUAGUC
rnacentral:rRNA from 1 species